AAUAUGAAACUCCAUGUCAUAGCUGCUCCUGCUACAUAGAGUGAGCUCUCACGUACAUUGUUACAUGUCAGAGAAUUCCUCUUACAAGAAGCCAUUCUGACAAUCAAACAGGUGCAUGGUAUCAAGAGGUCAUCUUUCAAAUGACACAGAUCCCAGAGUUACUACUAGCAUAGAACAAAGACUGAGGACAGAUGGGGACACUUUCAUAUUCUGUAUUAAGAAGACACACUUGUACUCCAUACUGUAGGAAGGAGUCAAAAUGCACAUAUUAGCUUAGCAUGGGCACACUCUCAUUUGGUUUGAGUUAACUUCCCACCCUAGCCCAGAUGCCUCUGAAGGAGUAUAAGGUUAAUAUCAUUAGAAACUACCAAGAUUCCGAGUUUCAAGAAGUGCCUGAGUCCAAACGUUCACAGAAGAGGAAAGAGUGCAAAAGAUAACAAAACAAACACAAACAACAACGUUCAGAAAUGGGGUAACCACCCGACCAGGGAGGCAAAACGGAGCUCCACGAUAGUUGGCUGCAUUUGCCUCCAGACCUAUCUCCUCCUCUUUUUAUAAUCUGCUGGCUGGAGAUGAGAUGGAAUACAUGUGUCUAGGAUAGUUAAUCUGCUCUCUCCUCAGACUGCAGGCUCUCUGGAUACGCCGUAAUAUUAAGAUUCAGUCCUUUCUCUAUUUCUUGGGUUCUCUGGCAGGUAGCACAAACCAAAAUCAGGUUUCACUACCCGCGGACUUGACCCCACCAUCCUUUCAGAGAAGCCUCACUAUCAGGUCUGCUCAAAAGAUUCGCCUCUUUCCUCUGUCAGACUCCGAGCACGGGAGGAGCUAGCUCCUUCAAUGUGACACUCCACCGCAUUGCAUCCCCGCUUCCUACCGAGACUACACUCAGUAAACUGCGCCUCAAAAUCUCUGAAAAGCUGUGACUCUCGUCCUGGUGGAGAGUUUUCAGUUCACAAAAAGAACUUGAGGACGUUAAACACAGGCUGAGAAUAAAGCCGACACUCAACGCCAUACCUCAACUUCUAGGUCCUUUGUAACUCCCGACAAGGGGACGGAAUAGAACCAGUUAUCCUUGGAGUCCGCAAGCAGUGGCAAGAAGUAGUGAGGAAAGUUCACAGCAAUUCAUACAGAUUUAGGCUGACGACGCCCACCAGGAUCCGGAAACCGGGUGCAAGGAACCUAUUUACCGAAAAAAAACUAUUAGGAACUUCCGGGAGUGGCGAGCUUUGUUUCCUAGGGGACGGUCUUCCUGUACGGACUUGAGACUGACGUAGCGUCCUCCUUGUCUAGGAAAUGCAGUUAUCUCAGCAGUUGGACCUGUUUCCUGAAUGCAGAGUGACCCUUCUGUUAUUUAAAGAUGUAAAAAAUGCAGGAGACUUGAGAAGAAGGGCCAUGGAAGGAUCUCUCUGUGGCUCAUUAAUAAAUCCUAAUAUGCCAACCAGCAUCCAUCGUCCCAGUGGCUCAAAGGUUUCUUUCAGUAGUGCUGGUCUCUUAAUCUUGGCUGACUUCUCAGUCCCAGCUUCCAGAUACCACAGAGUUUUCAUACAGAAGGCCAGGCCCUGUAGAGCCUUUGCUUCCUCUGAAACUUCACAAGCCGGACCUCCAUCAUCUGUAUUGCUCUCAACUUCUUCUCUCCCAAGAUUCCACAGAACAGUGCACUGAGCUCUUAACUCUUGGUGGAUUUUCUAGGCCACAGUUACAAAGUCUUUCUCCAAUCCUUCCAACAACAACACGGUCAGGUCUGAGGCAGCAGUACUCCACUAUCCUGCUUCCAGCUUCUUCCUAGUUAGGUUGCACCUGCUGCAAUGAAACACCAUGACCAAAGCAAUGAGGGGAGGAGAGGGUUUAUUUGACUUACAUUUCUAUAUUACUGUUCAAUGUCAAAGGACAUCAGACAGGAACUCAGAGGGCUGGAUCCUGGAGGCAGGAGCUGACACGGAGGCCUUGGAGGGAUGCUGCUUAACACUGGCUUCCCAUGACUUGCUCAGCCUGCUUUCUUAUGGA